rnacentral:rRNA from 1 species
AGCGUACACGGUGGAUGCCCUGGCAGUCAGAGGCGAUGAAGGACGUGCUAAUCUGCGAUAAGCGUCGGUGAGGUGAUAUGAACCGUUAUAACCGGCGAUUUCCGAAUGGGGAAACCCAGUGUGUUUCGACACACUAUCAUUAACUGAAUCCAUAGGUUAAUGAGGCGAACCGGGGGAACUGAAACAUCUAAGUACCCCGAGGAAAAGAAAUCAACCGAGAUUCCCCCAGUAGCGGCGAGCGAACGGGGAGGAGCCCAGAGCCUGAAUCAGUGUGUGUGUUAGUGGAAGCGUCUGGAAAGGCGCGCGAUACAGGGUGACAGCCCCGUACACAAAAAUGCACAUAUUGUGAGCUCGAUGAGUAGGGCGGGACACGUGGUAUCCUGUCUGAAUAUGGGGGGACCAUCCUCCAAGGCUAAAUACUCCUGACUGACCGAUAGUGAACCAGUACCGUGAGGGAAAGGCGAAAAGAACCCCGGCGAGGGGAGUGAAAAAGAACCUGAAACCGUGUACGUACAAGCAGUGGGAGCCUCUUAAUGGGGUGACUGCGUACCUUUUGUAUAAUGGGUCAGCGACUUAUAUUCUGUAGCAAGGUUAACCGAAUAGGGGAGCCGAAGGGAAACCGAGUCUUAACUGGGCGUUAAGUUGCAGGGUAUAGACCCGAAACCCGGUGAUCUAGCCAUGGGCAGGUUGAAGGUUGGGUAACACUAACUGGAGGACCGAACCGACUAAUGUUGAAAAAUUAGCGGAUGACUUGUGGCUGGGGGUGAAAGGCCAAUCAAACCGGGAGAUAGCUGGUUCUCCCCGAAAGCUAUUUAGGUAGCGCCUCGUGAAUUCAUCUCCGGGGGUAGAGCACUGUUUCGGCAAGGGGGUCAUCCCGACUUACCAACCCGAUGCAAACUGCGAAUACCGGAGAAUGUUAUCACGGGAGACACACGGCGGGUGCUAACGUCCGUCGUGAAGAGGGAAACAACCCAGACCGCCAGCUAAGGUCCCAAAGUCAUGGUUAAGUGGGAAACGAUGUGGGAAGGCCCAGACAGCCAGGAUGUUGGCUUAGAAGCAGCCAUCAUUUAAAGAAAGCGUAAUAGCUCACUGGUCGAGUCGGCCUGCGCGGAAGAUGUAACGGGGCUAAACCAUGCACCGAAGCUGCGGCAGCGACGCUUAUGCGUUGUUGGGUAGGGGAGCGUUCUGUAAGCCUGUGAAGGUGGCCUGUGAGGGUUGCUGGAGGUAUCAGAAGUGCGAAUGCUGACAUAAGUAACGAUAAAGCGGGUGAAAAGCCCGCUCGCCGGAAGACCAAGGGUUCCUGUCCAACGUUAAUCGGGGCAGGGUGAGUCGACCCCUAAGGCGAGGCCGAAAGGCGUAGUCGAUGGGAAACAGGUUAAUAUUCCUGUACUUGGUGUUACUGCGAAGGGGGGACGGAGAAGGCUAUGUUGGCCGGGCGACGGUUGUCCCGGUUUAAGCGUGUAGGCUGGUUUUCCAGGCAAAUCCGGAAAACCAAGGCUGAGGCGUGAUGACGAGGCACUACGGUGCUGAAGCGACAAAUGCCCUGCUUCCAGGAAAAGCCUCUAAGCAUCAGGUAACAUCAAAUCGUACCCCAAACCGACACAGGUGGUCAGGUAGAGAAUACCAAGGCGCUUGAGAGAACUCGGGUGAAGGAACUAGGCAAAAUGGUGCCGUAACUUCGGGAGAAGGCACGCUGAUAUGUAGGUGAAGCGACUUGCUCGUGGAGCUGAAAUCAGUCGAAGAUACCAGCUGGCUGCAACUGUUUAUUAAAAACACAGCACUGUGCAAACACGAAAGUGGACGUAUACGGUGUGACGCCUGCCCGGUGCCGGAAGGUUAAUUGAUGGGGUUAGCGGUAACGCGAAGCUCUUGAUCGAAGCCCCGGUAAACGGCGGCCGUAACUAUAACGGUCCUAAGGUAGCGAAAUUCCUUGUCGGGUAAGUUCCGACCUGCACGAAUGGCGUAAUGAUGGCCAGGCUGUCUCCACCCGAGACUCAGUGAAAUUGAACUCGCUGUGAAGAUGCAGUGUACCCGCGGCAAGACGGAAAGACCCCGUGAACCUUUACUAUAGCUUGACACUGAACAUUGAGCCUUGAUGUGUAGGAUAGGUGGGAGGCUUUGAAGUGUGGACGCCAGUCUGCAUGGAGCCGACCUUGAAAUACCACCCUUUAAUGUUUGAUGUUCUAACGUUGGCCCCUGAUCGGGGUUGCGGACAGUGUCUGGUGGGUAGUUUGACUGGGGCGGUCUCCUCCUAAAGAGUAACGGAGGAGCACGAAGGUUGGCUAAUCCUGGUCGGACAUCAGGAGGUUAGUGCAAUGGCAUAAGCCAGCUUGACUGCGAGCGUGACGGCGCGAGCAGGUGCGAAAGCAGGUCAUAGUGAUCCGGUGGUUCUGAAUGGAAGGGCCAUCGCUCAACGGAUAAAAGGUACUCCGGGGAUAACAGGCUGAUACCGCCCAAGAGUUCAUAUCGACGGCGGUGUUUGGCACCUCGAUGUCGGCUCAUCACAUCCUGGGGCUGAAGUAGGUCCCAAGGGUAUGGCUGUUCGCCAUUUAAAGUGGUACGCGAGCUGGGUUUAGAACGUCGUGAGACAGUUCGGUCCCUAUCUGCCGUGGGCGCUGGAGAACUGAGGGGGGCUGCUCCUAGUACGAGAGGACCGGAGUGGACGCAUCACUGGUGUUCGGGUUGUCAUGCCAAUGGCACUGCCCGGUAGCUAAAUGCGGAAGAGAUAAGUGCUGAAAGCAUCUAAGCACGAAACUUGCCCCGAGAUGAGUUCU